GGAAGGAGACCUCAGCGGACGACCAGCCCGGACUGAGUGCCGGGUCACCCCCGCCGCCCGCCCCGCCGAGCCGCUGAAACGACCCCGCGGCGGCCCCUCCGCGCGGGGGUCAGGCGGCCUCCCGGCGCUGGCUGGGUCACACUCGGACCCGAAGGGCGCCCGCCGGGGGCAGAGCGAGGCCAGGGCUUCUCCUCCCGGCGCCGCGCGAAUUCGCGCCGGGGCCGUACGACAGAGCUGCCGGGUGCUGGGCACUGGACAGGCACCUAGCAGUUCUCUGGGGAAUGAGGCGCGACCUUGCCCUGAAAGAGCCCAUCUAUUAUUCGAUAGAUGCUGCAAUAGCGAAUGGAGAUGCUGUAAUGGAGGAGCUGUGUGGCCUGCCGCCGGCCCUUCCUCGCAGGUAUGUUAGGGAAGACUAGGACAUAUGAAAACACCGUUCCAGGAAUUCAUGGUGUUGCCAGAGACUUGCAGUGUGUCUGCAGAAACUGACUCUCGACUAUCUCCACCUAUCAGACCAUAUCCAUACUGGGGGCACCUCUUUCUAUAUGGGCCAGACAGGUAAUUGAGGACUCUACUGCAUGGAGUACAGUCCCAGCCCUGUGGUACUGAGUCCAGUAUCAAAACCUAAGAAUAUGGAGGCAACUCCUGCAGCACCUUCAGAAACUUGGACUGGCAAGUAUGCACCCUCAAGACUUUGUGGACCUGGAGCCCACUCUCAUAGAUGCCUAUGGCUGCUGCACAGUUUAAAAAAAAAUCAUUGAUCCAAUGCUGGAGUUUAUCCAGAAACUGACAGAGCAGUGCAUAGGGCUAUGGGAUUUCAUGAUCUUCCCCAACUCUGGGGAUAUCUCUGCCCAGGCUUCACUUUGCUGCUGGUGGAGGAGCUGUCCUUGACUAUGGCGAGAAGUCCAAGCUGGUAUCACCCAGCCCCUGGGUGCUGCCAGCAGUGGAGGAACCCGUGCUGCUCCAUUGUGACUGCCACACCACCCUGGAGUUCCUGGACUGUGUCUUCUUGGGAGACAGUGAGACCAACAUCUUUUGAUGCAACCUGUACUUGGACAGCUCCUCCUACACCACCCUCAGGCACUGCUUGGCCAGACCUCCAUCACUGCCUCCCUGUGCUUUGGUGGUGCCCUGAGAGCACACCUCCCAGAGUUCCAGGCCAACCUGGUACCCUAUUUCCAAAUCCACUUAUUUUUAAUGACAUACUAACCAGUUACUUUGAUUAAGCAGUACUUAUGUUGGGGGAUCACUUGCGCCUACUUUGAACUCUCUCUCUCAUCAGAUGGUCAGAUGUGACACUCAUCAAGGCAAAUUCAUAGCCUGCUCUGCCUGCUCUACCCCAGGGCUGUGGUAUCCAAAGAACUAAUGCUGCUGUUAUACCACCAAGACCAUUAUACCACCAUUGUACCAGUGUACCAUAGAAGUUGGUGACUGGUGCCCCACUGGUGUCAAGGUUGGCUUUAAUUUCUAGCCCCUCAACAGUGAUUCUCCAGGAGAAAUGCUGAACACCACCACAGCCAUCAGAGAGGGCUGGGCCUUUAUCACAAGUCUGCCAGGCUAGCACUUGCAAACCAGAAUGAGGAUAAGGGCAUGAAGGGUUUUCUGAGGGCUUCGAUGGCCUUGCUGCCCUGUAAAUGUUGAUAAAGUGCUGUGAUUAAACGGAGUAAGAAAGCAAGUGUGGCAGGGAAAUAAAAAGACAUGGGAUAGUAAGGGAAAAUGGUAGCUGGAUCCACGGAAGGGCUGGAUACCAGUCAGCUGUAUGACCUGGGGAGGUUUGGAAUCACAUGAUUAGGGCUUCUCAGACUCUAACCUGCAUCCACACUUCCUGUGGAUCUUGUUAAAUGGCAAAUUCAGCUUCUGUAGGUCUGGGGUGGUGCCUGAGAUUCUGUAUUUCUAACCGGCUCCCAGUGAUGCCUGUGUUUCAGCUGCCAGUCAGCAGACCACCCUUUAAAUAACAAAGCUCUUGAACAGCCCUAUCCACUAGAACUUUCUGCAAUCAUGGAAAUGUUCUAAAUCCCCACUUUCCAGUAUAGUAGCCUUGAGUCACAUGUAUCUACAGAGCAUUUGAAAUGUGGCUAGUGUGGCCGAAUUUUUCAUUUUAAUUAAUUUAACUUUAAAGCCACAUGUGGCUAAUGCUACCAUGUUGGACAGCAAGAUCUAGAUUUAUGAAAAUGAGUUUGAGACCAGACAAUUCCCACGGUCCCAUCUGAUGUCCUGUGGUUCCAAGUUGUUGUUUUCAAAGCGUGCGUGGAGGGUGAGGAUAGGAGUUUGAUGAGGGGACGGAUGUUAAAGUCUGGAGUAAAGCAUGAAGGGUUGGCAGUUCCACCACAUGGAAAAUAGUUUGAGAGUUACCGUUUAAAAUACAGAAUAUUUUGUCUUUUUGUACGUAAGUUGUCAAAUUUAUUGGCAUAAGCUCUUUGUAAUGUUGCCUAAUUAUCUUUCUAAUGUUGUUAGGCUCUGUAGUGAUAGCCUCUUUUCAAACCUGAUAUUGUUCACUUUCACUUUCUUUUUUUCCCCUGGUCAGUUAGCUAAGAAUUGAUCAAUUUUAUUAGUCUCAAAGAAGCAACUUUUGCCAAUUUCAUGGAUUUUGCUUUCUCUACAUACGCUCUGGAGAGCUUUCCAUAUUCGUGCAUAUAGAUUUACCUCAUUUUUCGUAAUUGCUAUCACAGUAUUUAAUCAUAGGCAUUCUCAUUAAUUUUUCUUUCCUUUUUUUUCUGUUAGAAUACUGAAGGGAACCUCCUUUUACAUGCCUCUAUAUGCACAUGAGAAAGGCCAGGACCUUCCCCUCCCCUGCAGUUAUAUAAAUGGAAUCAUACAAUGUAUAACCUUUUGAGAUUGACUUUUUUCUCCCAUGACUUUUUUCUCUCAGCAUAAUUCCCUGGAGAUUCAUUAAAGUUGUCAAGUGAGUGAACAGAAUAGUUCAUUCCUUUCUAGAGCUGAGUAGUUUUCCACAAUUAGUUUAAUCAGUCACCUGUUGAAGGACAUCUGGGUUGUUUCCAAUAUUUUUGGAUAUUACAAAUAAAACUGGCAUAGACGUUUGUGCACAAGUUUUUGUGUAAACCUAAGUUUUUCAUUUUUCUGGGAUAAUUGCCCAGGACUGUAAUUGCCGGUCACAUGAUAGUUACAUAUUUAGAUUUUUUAAAGAAACCGCCAAAUUAUUUUCCACAAUGGCUGUACCAUUUUCUGUUCCCAACAGCAAAAUGUAAUUGAUCUAAUUUCUCCAUAUCCUCACCAACAUUUGGUGUUGUCUCUAUUUUUUAUUUUAGCCAUCUUGAUAUACCAGUAGUAAUGUCCCAUUGUGGUUUUAAUUUGCAUUUCCCUGAUGACUAGUGAUGCUGAGCGUCAUUUCACAUGCUUAUUUGCCAUUUGUAUGUUCUUUUCAAUGAAAUGUCUGUUCAUGUAUGUCUUUUGCCCAUUUUCUAACUAUUAAGUUUUGAGAAUUUUUAAUAUUCUCUAGCGACUAAUCCUUUGUCAGAUACGUGGUUUGCAAAUAUUUUCCCCCAUAUGCAGCUUGUCUUCUUAUCCUCUUCACAUGGGCUUUUGCAGUGAAAACAUUUUUUAAUUUAAUGAAAUCCAAUGUAUUGAUUUGUUUUAUGGCCUAUGCUUUUGGUGUUGUCUAAGAAUUAUUUGCCUAACUUGAGGUCUUGAAGAUUUCCUCCUUUGUCUUUUUCUAAAAGUUGUAUGGUUUAAAAUGUUACAUUUAAGUCCAUGGUCCAUUUUGAGUUAAUAUUUGUAUAAGGUGAGAGGUUGGGGUCAAGGGUUUUUGUUAUUUGCCUAUGGAUAUCCAAUUGUUCCAACACCAUUUGUUGAAAUCACCAAUGGUUUUUUUUAGUUUUUAAAAAACAUUUAUUUAUUUUAAUUUUGGCUGUGCCGGGUCUUAGUUGCGGCAUGCAGGAUUUUCAUUGCUGCGCACGGGCUCUUUGUUGCGGCGCGUGGUUUAGUUGCCCUGCGGCAUGUGGGAUCUUAGUUCCCCGACCAGGGAUCAAAACCGUGUGCCCUGCAUUGGAAAGCAGAUUCUUAACCACUGGACUACCAGGGAAGUCCUGAAAUCACCAAUGGUUUUUAAUGUAUUACUAGGUAGCCUCUUUUUUCUUUCUCCUAUUUUUUUUCUUUUUUUAAAAAUUGAAGUAUAGUUGAUUUACAGUGUUAUGUUGAUUUCUGGUGAACAGAAUAUAUAUAUUUUUUCAUAUGGUUUAUUCCAAGAUAUUGAAUAUAGUUCCCUGUGCCCUACAGUAGGACUUUGUUGUUUAUCUAUUUUGUAUAUAGUAGUUUGUAUCUGCUAAUCCCAAUCUCCUCAUUUAUCUGCCCCCCCUUUUCCCUUUGGUAACCAUAAAUUUGGUUUCUGUCUGUGAGUCUGUUUCUGUUUCAUAAAUAAAUUGUAUCAUUUUAGAUUCCACAUAUAAGUGAACUGCUUAUACUAGGUAACCUCUUAUGCUCUCAUAAAGGAUGUCUGAUGUGUGAAUGAUGAUAGGUGUUUUUCUGGGUUAGGAGAUUUGUAGUGGUGCACAUGGAGGUGGGGUGCUCAAACCCCUCUUCAGGGAAGGACUUAUCACCCCAGCUGCUGUGAGAGUUUCAGUAGUAAAGCUCCCAGCUUACAGUCCUUUCAGGGAGCACAUCAGCUACAGAGAGCCGCCUCACCAAGGUCAUGCCCUCUGAGGAAGGCUCACAUCUGAUGAAGGAUGGAGGUAGAGAUGCUAAAGGACCAACCAUUUCCACCCAAAGUGAGAUGAUUCUGAUGAGCCAUUUCUGCUCCAGAACUCCCUGUGGCUGAGGCUGUCUAGCCUACAUCACGGCUCAAACUUCUCCCUCUGUUGGAUCCCACUUUUCCCCCUCCUUUCCACAGGUGUGAUCUUGAGGGCACUCCCUGAACAUUAUCUCAGAGACUGCUUCCUCCAGAUUCCAAACUGUGAUACUCGUUUUCAUUUUUCUUUAAUGAUAAGCAUGACAUUUGGCUUAGGUACUGAGAAUGGUUAUAACUUGAUGGUAUUUACACCACUAUUAUAGGAAUCAGUAACAACAGGAUAACUUUCAUCAGAAACUCUACUCUCAAAACACACCACUGCAAAAAAGAAGUGAGCUGAAUGGUAGGGAAAGGAUAGGUGUAAGAGGUAAGAUUAGCACAGGCACGCAUAUGAGACAGAUCACAAGCGAGACUGAGAGUUGCAUGAUGCUGUCCGCUCCUCUGUCACCAUGGUUUAUAGAGGUUCCAACACUAGAAAGGUAGAUGUGUGGGUGAGUAUCCAGACAUACAGCAGACCAAAUCUCCCCAUCAACGUGAUCAAAAAUCAGGUAGGCAUAACCCUUGAUAUAAUUUCCAUGCUUAUACCGUUCCCAUUCUAAUGUGUUUCUGAUACUUUUCAUGACUUCUUAGGAAACCCAAAUGUGGAUAGAGAGGGAUGUCAUAGACGUGAUUGUCCAAUUUCAACCUCAAAUGCCAUUGGGCUGGAGGCAGGAAAGAGAGAGAGGAAAAGAAGCCAGAGGGGCUAGCAUUCAAUUUGCAAUCAUGUCCCGUGGCCCCAGGAAAUUUGAAGUCAUGAUGAUCUGGGGAGAGAAUUUUAAUGGUGUCCCUUUUCUCCACCUUCCACUUCAUUUGUUACAAUUGAAGAGUCCUAGAUUUUUAUUUUCAGCAGAAUCAGUGUUUUUAAAAAGGAUUCUUCUCACACUAUUUCACAUCUUUUAACUUUUAUUCUAGUUGUUUUUUCUGAUCAGCCCAUGCUGAACUAAUAGGCAUUCUCAUAAACCAGGAAAAAUGUUGCCCUCCAAAUUGUUGACACUGCAAAUGUCAGUGGCCUUUCUGUGUUUCAACUUCCAAGAGCAAAACUCAUCUAUGUAGUUAUUAUGCCGCUGAACAUUUUUAGCAGGGGCCGGUUCAUACAGUAGUAGAAAGAAGGUGUUCAUACCCAUAAUUCCCUCUGACAUUUAUGUUGCCUGUUUAUUUACCCCCUCCCCAUUUUGAAAAUGCAUCCUUCAGUGUAAAACAGUUUACUGAAUAUCCAUUCCGUUUAGUCUGCACUUAUGGCAGAAAACAAACAGCAAUGGGUGUCUUGGCUCUAUUACAUUUUCUGACAAGUGGGAAAUAUCUGUUUGUAAUGCAAUAAAUACUUGGGUCUAAGUAAUUCAGCAAACUGGCUUAUUUAGCUUUAACUCUGAAAGGACGCACAGAGGAAACAAUUUUCACCCAUCAUUGAUUCCACACUGAAAUAUGUUAUGAUUGUAUGCCCGCAGCUGGGGGAACUUUGUGGUGGUAUGAGUGAAUAAGCAGUUAAUGAAGACGCUGUUCUGAGUCAGUGCAAAACUAGCAAAGACCUUACUGCUUACUUGGAUGUCUGGAGCUGGCUCUUGUCGGUUCACAAUCGUCUACUGUUAGAUAUUCAAAAGUUUUGUGGACUUCCCUGGUGGCACAGUGGUUGGGAAUCUGCCUGCCAGUGCAGGGGACAUGGGUUUGAGCCCUGGUCCGGGAGGAACCCACAUGCUGUGGAGCAGCUGGGCCUGCGAGUCACAACUACUGAGCCUGUGCUAUAGAGGCCACAAGCCACAACUACUGAGCCCACGUGCCACGGAUGCUGAGGGCUGCGCGCCUAGAGCCCAUGCUCUGCAACGGGAGAGGCCACAGCAGUGAGAAGCCUGUGCACCACAGCGAGGAGUGGCCCCCGCUUGCUGCUGCUAGAGGGGGCCUGCACGCAGCAAUGGGGACCCAAAGCAGCCAAAAUAAAUAAAUAAAAUUUUUUAAAAAGUAAAUAAUUGUUAUGGGUAUUGUUUCUAAAAAAAAAAAAAGAGUUUUGUGAGCUGGAUGUUAAACCUUGCGGGACUUUGAAAUUGGGAGUAUUUACACCCAAGAAAUUGGCAAUCACUUCAAAUCAGGGCUCUUUUUUUUUUUCUUUUGAGAGCUGGUUUACUAACACGCCAUUGCCUACUCUUUCUCAGUGUAGGAGAAUUAUCAAUACAAAGCAGAUGGCAGCAGGGCUUCCCUGGUGGCGCAGUGGUUGAGAGUCCACCUGCCAAUGCAGGGGAUACGGGUUCGUACCUCGGUCCGGGAAGAUCCCACAUGCCGCGGAGCGGCUAGGCCUGUGAGCCAUGGCCGCUGAGCCUGCGCGUCCGGAGCCUGUGCUCCGCAACGGGAGAGGCCACAACAGUGAGAGGCCUGCGUACCGCAAAAAAAAAAAAAAAAGCAGAUGGCAGGCCAAGAAAUUAAGUUUCACAGGGAAGAGGGAAUAAACACAAGUCAACUAAAAAUACACAAAGCAAUGGAUGGCAAAGGCAUAACAACCUUCUGUAAAGGUACACGGGUAUAGAUUAGCACAUUUAAGCACUGGAAAGACAGAGACCUGGUUAUUAGAUCAAGCAAGUGUGGUAAUGAUUUAUGAAAGUGAGUCUCAUAAGGCUUGUUUUCUUUUAGGUUGAAGUAUACAGCACAGAUCAUAAUGAUUAUCACAAAGUGAUAACACACCCACAUAAACACAAUCCAGAUUAUUAAGCAAAUUUUCUAGGAGAAAAUGGGACUCUGAUAGAGAUUAAUGGAGUGGGCUAUCCAGGAAGGCUUGCAGCUUCACAACACAUAUCGAGCUUCAAGAAUUUCACCUAGGCAAUAUAACCUACUCUGGAUUUUUAUUUUAUUUUAAUAGAUGCUGCAAAUCAGUUUAUGAAGUUUUUUUUUUGCUGUGCUGAUGAAUAUACAUUUAAUAACUAGAUUUAGGGCUUUUCUCCUUUGAAAUUUGAAUGUGUUGCUUAGCUACCCUCCUCUUUUUUGUGUAGUCUCUGAUUUACUGUAAUUUCUUCAGCUGCAGGUGAG